GAUGAACGCUGGCGGCGUGCCUAAUACAUGCAAGUCGAACGAAUGGAUUAAGAGCUUGCUCUUAUGAAGUUAGCGGCGGACGGGUGAGUAACACGUGGGUAACCUGCCCAUAAGACUGGGAUAACUCCGGGAAACCGGGGCUAAUACCGGAUAACAUUUUGAACCGCAUGGUUCGAAAUUGAAAGGCGGCUUCGGCUGUCACUUAUGGAUGGACCCGCGUCGCAUUAGCUAGUUGGUGAGGUAACGGCUCACCAAGGCAACGAUGCGGAGCCGACCUGAGAGGGUGAUCGGCCACACUGGGACUGAGACACGGCCCAGACUCCUACGGGAGGCAGCAGUAGGGAAUCUUCCGCAAUGGACGAAAGUCUGACGGAGCAACGCCGCGUGAGUGAUGAAGGCUUUCGGGUCGUAAAACUCUGUUGUUAGGGAAGAACAAGUGCUAGUUGAAUAAGCUGACACCUUGACGGUACCUAACCAGAAAGCCACGGCUAACUACGUGCCAGCCGCCGCGGUAA
rnacentral:rRNA from 1 species